rnacentral:rRNA from 1 species
UACGUAGGGUGCGAGCGUUGUCCGGAAUUACUGGGCGUAAGCGCACGUAGGCGGCUUGUAAGUUAGAGGUGAAAGCCCGGGCUCAACCCCGGAACUGCCUUUGAGUACUGGAUUGCUAGAAUCUUGGAGAGGCGAGUGGAAUUCCGAGUGUAGAGGUGAAAUUCGUAGAUAUUCGGAAGAACACCAGUGGCGAAGGCGGCUCGCUGGACAAGCUAUUGACGCUGAGGUGCGAAAGCGUGGGGAGCAAAC